AUUGACCUCUAGAAAGCUCCAUCUACCCUUCCUGGUGCCACCCGCCCAUCCAAGGAAUAGUCCCAAAAGGCUGUCCUCUCCCUGCUUUCUCCAAGUUGCGAGCCCACACGCGACGUGCAGAGCUCUCUCCUUUCCUUCCAGCCAGUGGCCCUCUUCGAACACCUGCCAGGUUUACAAGUCCCGGAGCGAGUUGCAGCGUCCCGGCCGCACCUCACUACCGACCUAAAGAUGCGCCUUUGCUAGGCGGCAGCGCGUGGAGAGACUGUCGCUGGUCGGCGGGGCCAGAGCGCACCAGGCUUCCGGGAGGAGGCUGGAGCGGGGAGGCGCCCGGGGUGAGACCGUGGCACCCUCAACAUCAUAAAGGACUCAGAUUCCUGCAUUCCCGACAUCAUAAACGACUCAGACGGAUGCGGAAACCGAGACGGCCUGGAUGGAAAACUCUUUCAAGGAAGACCCCAGGGCCCUGAACGGAAUUCCGGAUAUUUUCUCUAAAACGUACUACACCUGCCUUUUCCCACGUUAGUUAAUGGCAACUCCACCCUCCACACGUUCAGGCCAAAAACUCGACGCAGACUUUGAUCCACACAACUAUUCUCUUUCUUGGUCUGAAUUUUGGCAAACGACAAGCAAGGCAUAGAGAUCGCUUCAACUCGCUACCCGCGGCUCGCCCAGACGUUAGGGUUUUAGGCCGCCGUUAGACUUUGGCCCUGCAGGUCAAAAUCAGCUACUCUAGGCCUGUCUUCUCGGAGGCCAGUAGCAGCACCUGGUCCUCUCCGCGCGGCUUCUCCCGCCGGGUACGCAACCCUGCACCUCUUUCCUGUGACCUGCAGCGAAGCUCGGCGGGGGACCGGGUAUUCAACUGGCCAGGAGUUCUCGAGGCGCAGGUGCGGGUGUGCAGGGACGCGCGCGGUGAGUUUGCAGUUCCUGCGGGCUCCAGCAACAUCCCGGGUCAGUCCGAACUCCGAAGGCGCCAAGGCAGGGAGGGACCGGUAGGUGAAGGGCAGCCGCCCUCUUGCGCCCUGUUUCAGUCCUCCAGUCGCUGUUGAAUGGAGUUUCCGUCUCCAGUCUCAGCCAAAGCAGGCAAGGCGGACAACCUCGGCCUGGCAACCAGAAGUAUCAUUCCUUGAUUCAGGAUCAGGCUCAAGAGUUAACCCACCUACGGCAGAAGAUGAAGCUUGGGAGAGUGGCCUCUGCUCUUCUCAUCCAGCAUGUCAAGAACACACUAAAGACCUUUGAGGAGCUACUCCAGAGCAAUAACAUUGACCACUAUAUGGAGCAGCACUACUGCGAGCAGCUGGCCAAAGGAAGCCAGCUGGCAGAGAGCCUUGCCAGAAAAUUCAGCACAGGGCAAAGCAAGUGGAGAUGAUGACCUUCAUGGUGGGCUCAGGAAAGCCUGCCAGGCAAGCUCUCUAAAGACUCAACCCAAGAUCUGAGAAAAUUCAGAGUAUCCUGGAAUCAAGGCAAGCAUCAGAUGACUGUACAAGUAAGAAGAAUCAAGUAGGACAGGUGUCUUCGACUCUCAGUAUCUUGAGGAAGAUGCAUAAUAUGAGUAAAGUGACAGAAGUCCUAGAGACCAAGUGGGAUGCCCAGUCCCAGACUCAGCCCCAGAUCUGGUGCAGCAACCACACCCGGUCUACCCCACAUCACUCCCUGAGCAGCACGUCUCCACAGCUUGACAAGGAGGAAGUGCAUCCUUCAGUGACUGCAGUCAAUGCCAGCCCUGCCAUUUCUGCUGAUUCAGCUGCUUUGCCCAGCAACCAAGGAACCAGGUCUGCCCAGCCCUUCCAUCCUUCGAGCGGCACUGGCCCAGCAGAGCAGGACACUAGAACACGGUAGCAGUGGCCCAUGGGAAGAGAUGAGGCCUCAAAAAAUGAAUGCAUCUGGAGACCUAGCCUCCUUCUCCUCUUUGUACCAACCCAACUCCGAAACCUCUGGUAAAACACAAAGGAGCACUUAGUGAAAUCGAGCCCAUUGGUAGGAAUGACACAUUCCUUUCCUGGCCAGAGGAUUUUUUGGUUCCUCUGUUAGAACCUGGUUCAUAAAAAAUGACAGGACAAUAUGUAGAUCAGCCAGACAGUGAGAACCAGCUCAGUGCUUGUUCUUUGAAAGUGCCUUCUCCUAGCCACCCUACCUAGGAACUUACUCUGGGCAGGAGAGUAGGAGAAGUCAGGGACAUUCUGAGGUGCUCUACAAGGAGGAUAAGUUACCUCACACUUAAAUGUUGCCUUCUCUCUGUGCUACAACCUUCUUAGGCCUAGAUUAAGACUGUCCUGGAAUGCUAAGCUCAGAUUUCCAUGGGGAAGGUCUUCCUUAGGUCAGGAGCUACUGUCGGAUGGGAAACUAUUUCUACAGAGUCACCCAGCCCUACACACUCUUUCCACUCUUUCACACACAUCUUUCACACACACUGUGCAUACAACCACGUGCCAAUCCUGCCCCCAUAAACAUUGCUUUUGGAUUUGGAGCCAAACAUCCUGGCACCCGGCAGCUAGGAGUGCAGCUAUUUAGAGGAAUGGCUUGAAGCAGCUCCAUUUCUGUGUCCCAGGUAGUGUAACAAUAAGACAUUUUAAAUUCUCAGAGAAAAACCUGACCCUACGCAAAAUCUCCCAGUGGGUGAAGCCUAUUCUCAGCCUCCUCUCUCUGUGCAUCUUUUUCCUUCCUUGGAGAUUGUUCCCUUCUCUCCUGUUCCCCCUCUUCAGAUCCUGAUACCUUCCCAAGCUCUUCCAUGUUCCUCUUUGCCAAAACUGGUUAAAGGAGAACAUUCACUAUCACUCAUUAUUCACAGCCUGGUUUAAUUUCAUAUGCACUUACCUUGGUCUUUCUCUCUGUGAGUGAGUGAAAUCUCAAAGGCUGUUGAGUCGGGAUCAUCAUCGGGGAGAGGGAUGAGGUAGAGAGGGAGAUUCUCUGGAUUGUUUUCCAUACCAAGGAGGUAGACAGCCUUUCCCAUUACUAGGCCAGUUCUGCCUAGAGGCCUUUAGCAGUUUCUCACCCUGUGUCCAUCUCCCUUAGAUGUACUUGGUGGUCUCUGUCUGGGAGGAGGCCUGUGGUGUUUCCUUACAGGGGGCCACCCUGUGAUUGAAAGCCCAGGACUUUUAAGUAAAGUUGCCUGGUGCUUCCUGAAUGCCCAGGAGAGAGGAAGAAGCUGACAGAAGGAUAGAGAUAGGUAGGGAUCUUGCAGAGAGAUGCCAGGCAGGCCCCACAGCUGCCCAGGGAUGAUCAGGCUUCCCUACCUCCUACCUCUCCUAUGUCUUGGUGGUUUGCAGUAGGGGCUGACCUGCUGGAAAAGAAUCUUGCUGAGAUACAGAACCUGCGCCAGCGCCUGGAGGAGUCCAUCAGUCUCAAUGACCGCCUGAGGGAGAGGCUGGAGCAUGUGCUUAGCAAUGGUGACCAAGGAAAAGGUAGAAAGGCAGAAAUUUUAUGUUUCUGUCCACGUCUAAGGAGUCUCAAAAGGGCACAUAGCUUCUUGGGGCAGAGUUUUACCGGUUUAAAGCACAUUGGUGUGCAUGAUUUCACUUGUUCCUUACAAUUAGCCCAGAUAGGGAAGCAGAAGGGUACUAUUGCUCCCACUGAGUGGUUUGCCCCAAGCAGGGAUAGGUCUAAUUCUCAGGACUAUCUGAAGUGAUGUCAUUCUUAUAUGUCCUUAUACUGCCUGGUGCUGUUCUUGGGCUUGUGGCCUGACUGGCGAGUGGUAGCACCAAGGUUUCCAUGGUGCCCACUUCAGCAGAAUGAGAGCAACGUUCCACCUUUAUGCCAUUACUACAUGCCUUUGAUAUCACCUGGCUCUUCUCUUGUGCUAAUGACCCUUAUUUCAACACUCUUCACCCUGGAUGCUCUCACUUGGAGACCAGUUCUUCCCCAUCCCUUCUUCUCUCGUAUUAAAGCCAGAAGAAUGAUGACCUACAACAUCAUAACUGAAGCCAAUUAGUGGGAAAGACCCUGAUCCAUACCUGAAGCCACUGCACAUGAGAGUGUGUGGCCUACUCUGGUGUGCCCAGCAAAACCUGAGCCUGAGCCAUAUUGCACUGCUAUCCCAGUGCAUGAGGUCCGCAGGUUUUCAGAUUAGCUGAGACUAAAACUUUAAUGGAUGCAGGAAAGUACAUCUUUGAAAGUAUCUGUUACCUAAAGGUAUGACUUGUCUGGGUUGUUUUUAUUCCCUGUGAAGUAUCUACCUCCAUCUUCCAUGGGUAGGACCUGUAGUCCACACCCUAGUUGUGCAACAGGAAAAGGGCUCAGGGAAGCAAACUGGAGUUUUCAGGCUUCCAGAAGGAAAAAAUCAAAGCUGAAGUCACUUCCAUAUUUCUUCCUUUCUGCAGCAAUGCCCAGUUGUAGAAGCAAAGAGAAGUAAGCAGCACAAAAGUUGACCAGAUCCACACAGCCUAAAACUAUAAUAGCUUAUUCCCAAUCUAGAUAAGGCUGCUUCUUAAAAGAUCCCACCUACAUGUUCGCAGACUCCUGGCUCCAGGAGUAAAUAUCUCUGGAAAAUCUACAUGUCAUGUUUAAGUUCCUUUCCCAAUCUUUGCAGAUAAUCAGAGAGUCACUAGCUGUCAACUAGAAAGCUUGGUGUCUCUCUUCCUGUCUUUCCCACUUUCACCUGGGUACGGAAUAGGAGAGAAGAAAUGUAAGUUUUUGUUUGGUACAAUCAAUGAAUCUCCUAAAUCCCUCCAGACUUCAUUGCAGCCCUGUCUCUCCCUCCCUAGGUACUGCACAGUCCACUGUAGCCCCUCAUUCAUAUACUCAGAGUCACUCUUCUGGCUGUGGCGAGGACAUCCUGUGACAUGAUGCCUAGAGAGUCUGGAAGAAUGUUCUCCAGAACUUUUCUAGCCCUAUCCAACAGAAUUCUUGGGUGGGAACUUGGAGGCAUUGGAUAUUAUCUUUAAAUGAAGAGAUCAAAUUAAUAAAUUAUUUUUA